rnacentral:rRNA from 1 species
UGGGGAAUAUUGGACAAUGGGCGCAAGCCUGAUCCAGCCAUGCCGCGUGAGUGAUGAAGGCCCUAGGGUUGUAAAGCUCUUUCACCGGAGAAGAUAAUGACGGUAUCCGGAGAAGAAGCCCCGGCUAACUUCGUGCCAGCAGCCGCGGUAAUACGAAGGGGGCUAGCGUUGUUCGGAAUUACUGGGCGUAAAGCGCACGUAGGCGGAUACUUAAGUCAGGGGUGAAAUCCCAGAGCUCAACUCUGGAACUGCCUUUGAUACUGGGUAUCUCGAGUAUGGAAGAGGUGAGUGGAAUUCCGAGUGUAGAGGUGAAAUUCGUAGAUAUUCGGAGGAACACCAGUGGCGAAGGCGGCUCACUGGUCCAUUACUGACGCUGAGGUGCGAAAGCGUGGGGAGCAAACA